rnacentral:rRNA from 1 species
CCUACGGGUGGCAGCAGUGAGGAAUAUUGGUCAAUGGUCGCGAGCCUGAACCAGCCAAGCCGCGUGAAGGAUGACUGUCCUACGGGUUGUAAACUUCUUUUGUAAAGGAAUAAAGUGCGGCACGUGUGCCUUUUUGUAUGUACUUUAUGAAUAAGGAUCGGCUAACUCCGUGCCAGCAGCCGCGGUAAUACGGAGGAUCCGAGCGUUAUCCGGAUUUAUUUGGUUUAAAGGGUGCGUAGAUGGGUUGUUAAGUCAGUUGUGAAAGUUCGCGGCUCAACCGUAAAAUUGCAAUUGAUACUGGCAGCCUUGAGUACAGUUGAGGUAGGCGGAAUGCGUGGUGUAGCGGUGAAAUGCUUAGAUAUCACGAAGAACUCCGAUUGCGAAGGCAGCUUGCUAGACUGACACUGACGUUGAUGCUCGAAAGUGUGGGUAGCAAACAGGAUUAGAUACCCCAGUAGUC